rnacentral:miRNA from 14 species
GGUUUCUCCAUGUACCCCUGGUUGUCCUGGAACUCACUCUGUAGACCAGGCUGGCCCUGAACUCAGAGAUCCUCCUGCCUCUGCCUCCCAAGUGCUGGGACUAAAGGCACGAGCUACCAUUGCCUG